GGAUUAGAUACCCUGGUAGUCCACGCCGUAAACGAUGAGUACUAGCCCUUGGAGGUAUUGACCCCUUCAGGAGCGCAGCUAACGCAUUAAGUACUCCGCCUGGGAAGUGCGGCCGCAAGGCUAAAACUCAAAGGAAUUGACGGGGGCCCGCACAAGCGGUGGAUUAUGUGGUUUAAUUCGAAGCAACGCGCAGAACCUUACCUAGGCUUGAAAUCCUUCGGAUCCCGAGUAAUGUUGGGAGUGCCCGCAAGGGAAUGAAGUGACAGGUGCUGCAUGGCUGUCGUCAGCUCGUGCUG
rnacentral:rRNA from 1 species